rnacentral:misc_RNA from 1 species
CCAAUCUCUCUCUGUCUUCUUCUCCUCCUCCAUUUUCGCUUUCUCGCAAUCUCAACUUCCUCUCUAAAUCCCAUUCUUUCUGCUUCAAAACCAGAAAGCAAAGGCUGCAAUCUCUAUCUGUCUUCGCUUCUUCUGCCUCUCUUGAAGCUCUAGUAUUCGACUGCGAUGGAGUCAUUUUGGAAUCAGAGCACCUCCACCGCCAAGCUUACAACGAUGCUUUUGCUCAUUUCAAUGUCUGUUGCUCUUCCCGGCCUC